GAAAGCACUUUGGUACAGUGCCCUCUGGAGGCAAAGGUCUCAGGUUCGAAUCCUGACUUCCCCA
rnacentral:tRNA from 1 species